rnacentral:lncRNA from 1 species
GGGAGCUUCUUCCUUCUUUCUUCUCCCUUCUUUCUUGCCUGUUAAACUCUCUGCUUCUUAAAACCACUCCAUGUAUGUCCAGGUCAUUUUAUCUAAUUUGGAGACGGAGAACCCUGGUGUUCCUCUGCUCAUCAGAGCCGUCUCACCUGCAAGGGCCAGGAUCCAGCACUAGGGCUGCCCUUUAUGUUCAUGCAGCCUCCACUAGGAAGAUCCUCCUUAGCUGCCACCUGCUGUAAAGGGAUCUAUCUAUCUAUCUGUCUAUCUAUCUAUCUAUCUAUCUUUCUAUCUACCUGUCGAGAGAGAGAGAGGUUUAUUAUAAGGAAUUGACUCAUGUGAUUAUGGAGGCUGAGAAGUUCCACAGUCUGCUGUCUGCAAGCUGGAGACCCAGGAAGGCUGCUGGUGCCGUUCCAGUUUGAUUCUGAAGGCCUGAGAACCAGAACUGAUGGUAUGAGUUCUAGUCCAAGUCCACAGAAAUGAAACUGGAGAACCAAAGGUCCCACUCAACAUGAAGAUGACAAGGAUGAAGACCUUUAUGAUGAUCCAUUCCCACUUACUGAAUAAUAUCAAGCAUUUUAUUCAACUAUGGAAUGGAAGCAACAGAUUACAGCAGCAUUAACAAGACCUGGGAUACCAUCACCAAUCAAAAUCAUGGAUAUUUCAUAGCACAAGAACGUUGUUUCAGAAUCUCAAAGUACUCCUCCUACUCAACAUGACUUUGAAAUUGCAAUAGUUGUUAGAACGGUCACUGCAGUUUGAUAUAUGAUGUGUUUACAAAGAGGCACAUAUAUUGCUCUUUCAGAAUUAUAACUCUGUAUGCAUUUCAAUGUAAUUGGUUUCCUUUGUCAUCUUCUGAAUUUUAUGUAUUUAAAAAUAUUAUUCUGAUGUUAAUACACAACAAAGAAAGGAUAGAA